rnacentral:lncRNA from 1 species
GGGAAUAGAUACUGUUUUCAAAGCUUGGGAAUGAUUUAUCAUUAAUGUGGCUCUUUCUUUUAAAAAGGCAGACAUUAUUUUUAUUUCUUUUAUUUUUUUCUUUUAAUUGCCUUAAUUUCUCAAGAGUCCAAAUCCCUAAUUUCCCUUCCUCAUAAUCAAUUUUACCCAAAUUCCUUGCAAGCUUGUCUACUAGUUCAAGUUCAAACUCUUGACCUCUGAAUUUUUCUUUCACAAAAUUCCUAAUGAAGUGAUAAUAUCUAGAAGAGUAUUUCGUCCAUCUGUGUUGAAUUUGAU